rnacentral:rRNA from 1 species
GUCUCUUUGUUAUAUAUAAAUAAAGAGUUGGGCCUGCUCGGUGAAUAAUUUUUAACAGCUGCGGUAUUUUAACUGUACUAAGGUAGCAUAAUAAUUUGCCUUAUAAUUUGAGGCUAGAAUGAAUGGUUUGACGAAGGUUAAUCUGUCUCUAUCUUAUUUUUUAGAAUUUAAUUUUUAAAGUGAAAAAGCUUGAAUUUUUUAAAGGGACGAGAAGACCCUAAUGAGCUUAUAAUUUUAUUAUUAUUAUUUAAUAUAUUUAAAUAAUAAUAUAUAAAUUUUAAUUGGGGUGAUUAAGGAAUAAAAGAAUUAUAUAAUAACUUCCUUAGAUUAAAUAUAUAUAUAUAAAGUAACCAAUAAUAUAUUGCUUAUAAUAUAGUUACCAUAGGGAUAACAGCGUAAUUUGUUUAGAGAGUUCUUAUUGAAAAACAAGAUUGCGACCUCGAUGUUGGAUUAAAGUAACCUUAAGGUGCAGAAGCUUUAGUAAGGUAAAUCUGUUCGAUUUUUAAUACUUU